UUUUUUUUUUUUACAAAAAAAAAACAAUAAAAGCAAGUAGCAUUUGCUUUGACGAGCCUUUUCAAUUCUUAUUGAGAUUGAGAUGCAUUAAAUUUUAAUUUAAAUUAGAGAUGAAAUUUCACCAAUUUGAUUACAUGCCAAAAAAAUUGUGUAAAUUUUUUCAGCUUUGAUUAUAACUUGAAACUCCAGGCAUCCACGGUAUAUCCACGAAAGGAAUUAACUCUUGAGGGAAUAUUCAAACGAAUUCAUAAAGUAAAAAUAAUAAAAAUAACAAAUGAAAUAUAUCAAAAUAAAUCUAGAUGAUAUGUAUUAGUUUAAUAACAUUUUAAUGAAAAGAAAAGAAAAAGAAGGACCAUCAAUGGCUUAUGAAAAAGACUGACAAUAGUCUAAAACUAACAAGUUUGAUGAAAUAUAAAAGAGAAAAAAAGGAAGAGAGGAGACGGCAAGGAUUUGGAGUAUAUGUAUUUAUUUACUUAUAGAUGAUUAAUUUUACAGGUGUAAAACCUUUUAGGAUGCCAUGAAAGAAGACAAUUUGUGAGCAAAUGAAUUUAGAACUUUUUCUUAUAACCAUAGAUUUAAAGUAUAAAAUAUAAUAAUGAUUUGCUAAAAAUUAAGAGAAAAUAUGUUAUGCCCUUUUUUAUUAGUUGAUCACAAGUGUACGAAUAAUUUGCUCACAUACGUGCAUGUUAUUGAAGGCUAGUAUGUGUGAGAGAAAGAGAGAGAGAGAUAUGGUCUUGCAGGCAGCUUUAUUGCAUAAUUUUUUGAACAGAAUUUGGCUUUUUGUGGUUUAUCUUUGCAUUAGAAUUCGAAUGGGACAUUGAGCAAUGAUUUGUCUUCUCGUGGAUUUAGUUUUUAUGCGCAGGCUGAAUUUAUAAGAGAAAAAAUUGAGUUUGUUAUUGAGAGGAAUGCAGAUUUUAUUUUUGAAGUCUUGGAGGGAAAGUCAAUUUCCAUCAGCAAAGCUAGCAGGAAAUGAAAAUUUUUGAACAAAAGGAAAAAUUUUCCCUUUAUCAUUUGUUAAAUGACAGGAAAUGAUUACAUUAAGUUAUAUAGACAUUUAAGGUUAACA
rnacentral:misc_RNA from 1 species